UACGUAGGGGGCAAGCGUUAUCCGGAAUUAUUGGGCGUAAAGAGUACGUAGGUGGCAACCUAAGCGCAGGGUUUAAGGCUAUGGCUCAACCAUUGUUCGCCCUGCGAACUGGGAUGCUUGAGUGCAGGAGAGGAAAGCGGAAUUCCUAGUGUAGCGGUGAAAUGCGUAGAUAUUAGGAGGAACACCAGUGGCGAAGGCGGCUUUCUGGACUGUAACUGACACUGAGGUACGAAAGCGUGGGGAGCAAACAGG
rnacentral:rRNA from 1 species